ensembl:lncRNA
UUUAACUUUCAUUUCAGAAGAUUUAAAAUUAUUGAUACACUGAGGUAGAGGCUUUUUUACCUAAGGGUUGAUGUGAUAACUUAAUGUUACGUGUUCAUGAAGUUUAUGGGGUGGAUAUUUUUGAUAAUUUUCCUUAAAAUAAACUGCAUGAAGGGAAAUUAUCUAUCUAUCUAUUUAUUUAUUUCUCUUGAGAAAACAGAUUUCAUUUAUUUCACUCUUUGUCAUGGCAAGCAGUGGCAAUUAGUUUACUGCAUAAGAUAAGAUCAGUUGCAGUAUAAAGGAUCUGGUUGCCAGAGACUCCAAAAAGCAAAUGGAUUAGCAACUAAAUAAGGUUGCAGUCCAGAAUUAAAAAAAAAAAAAAAAACGAUCUUUUAAUUUUGUACCAGAAAUUUCAACCUUUAUGAAGUGUGUUUCUCAGUUGACUAAAAUAGCUCAGAGGAACUGGAAAGCAGUGCUUAUUAUGAGCCUGAUUUUAAAAGAAAUAAAGUUAAUAGAUCUCUCUAUUCAGAUCCUUGGAGGAUAUGGAGCUGACUGUUGUGAGGAACUGAAAUACUGCUUAGUGUCCUGUUUCAGCAGUCCAUGUCUAUGCAACAAAGCAUUUAAUCAUGUGUCAUGUCCUAAUCAGAAAUUAGGCAGGAUUUAUUUAGAAUCUAUUCAGUAUUGCUGAGCUUAUUAGAAUUUAUUUGUGUUAAAUGUUCAUAUAGCUUGUAAUUCACUACACUGUCAACAUUAAACUUUCAAAGAUUAUGAGCCAGGUUUUAUUAAAGUCAUGAGAUUGGCUUACUAACAUAUAGUUCAUAUUAUUUGAAAUAUAUUAAACAUAUAUGUGUAUAUAUAUAUGAUUUUGAAUUAUUUUAAGAAUUUUCAAGAAACUGAUUGACACUAUGUAACCAUAUAUUUUCCCCACAAAAAUGUAAACUAAGGUUUUUAUGGGAGUAUUUGUUUUUAGGAGCUUUCAAUCUAGAAAAAGAAUUCUCUUACACUUUAAUUAUAACAUUUUGGGGUCUGUGAACACUGUAGAUUCCAUUUUAAAGUUAGGGAUGAAUGAACAUUUUUUCUUUUUUCCUUGAACAGCAGGCUCUAGGCAAAAUGGCAAUUCUUACAAGAAGGUUUACAUUCCUUGAAAAAAUGUACUGACUUGUUAGAAAAGCAAGCAAUCAAAACCAACCCUACUUAAAUGAGUAUCUGCCAAAGACUGAUAUUUCACCUGAAAGUUUUUCAGCGACUAUUUCAACAAGGAACAUAAACAUAUAAAUAUCUUUUAUAUGAACUAAUCAGAGCACUAAAAUUCUGAUUCUAACGCUUUCAGCUUUUUAAAAAUAAAGCUUUCAUGUCUGUGAAAGUGGAGAAGUAUCUCCCAUCCCUGCAGUAUUUUUGUAGUUGUGCUGUACAACUCUGUGUUGGCUAAGGUAGGAAUUAUUAUUAGGGAUGAAACACAUUGUGCAGUUCAGAGGUAGACUUGCAUCUGCCUGAAGCGCUGCUUCCUUCCAAAGUACCUUAUUUUGGUAUCUAGGACUACAGUGUCUGCCUGGCGAGAAAGGAUUAUGAAACACCCAUUUAUGCUUGUUGCUGUGUGGGGGAACAAAAUGCAGCAAAGAGUGAAGAGAGCCGGCCUGAAUUGGACCAGAGCAGAUCAGAGCGAAGUCCACAAAUCAAAAAGCCAGUCUGUGAUUUAUUACUAUUUACAUAUAUUUAGAUGAAAGACUUUUUUCCUUCAAAGGGAAGGCAAUAGCUAGGGAUAUGAAACUUAGCAGUGAUGUUGCUAAUGAUACUAAACUGUUAAGGCAUGGUGCGCAGACAUAUUACAUUAUUCCAUCCAUCAUCAUUCUUACAAGAGAAAGAGAAAAGUGUUUUUAUUUUUAAUUUCUAAGAAAAUUUUAAAAAUAUAUAUUACUCAUCUGUUUAGAUAUCUUUCUGGCAGUGAAAUGCCAGCAAAAAUAAAAAUAAAAAUAAACCCACAAAACAUCAGUUUCCAAAAGGCAAUUUGUAUUUCCCAUGCUAGACCACAGGAAACAGAUAUCUAAGUUAAGAGAAAUGUUCUCCUAACCACAAACAUCUUAUUGACAAACCUUUAUACAAGGCCAGAGACUAAAGAUGCAAGGUGUUUGUGACUGUGGUGCUUGGACUUGUCACAUCUAAAUUAUAACUGAUACAAUUCAAAGUGUCUAAUUCAACACUCAAGUUCGUAUGCAACUGAAUGCACAUGUGGGGGACUUUACUGGCACUAAUUAAGUGAAAAAAGAUACAUAAGAUCAAACAUAUGAAUCACUGUCAAAGUGGCCAACUGCUGCAGGAAAGAGCUUUGUGAUCCUAAAAGGAAUGGGAGCACUAAGUUCAAGUUCAGUGUAUGCAGUAGCAGUUUGAAAACAGCAGUAGACCAUAUUAUAUUUCUACAGUAAGUAUGUAUUGGAAGAAAGACUUGAAUGUACAUGAAUCUGCAUUAGCUGUUUUUAAAAUGUAAGUUACGUCUAUGCUGCUUUGAUUUCAUUUACCACAUUCCUAUGCAGAUAAAUAAGAUAUAACUGAAUCCAUUAUUAAUGAGCUGUAGAAGCUUGUAUUACUAUCUCAUUUAGAACUUACGGAUAAAAUUUCAAAAUCCUAUUUCAAGCAAAUGUGCUAUGUUUUAGGCUGAUCAAAAACUCCAAGAUGCUUCACAACUGUGUUGAUAGCACAGUGCAGUGUUCAUUUUCUUUGAAUACUGCCAUCUCUUGGAUAGAAAGUGUUCAAAUAGCGUGUUCCAGUCAUUGAUUUGAAUAAGAAACAAAAGCACUAGAGAUUGUUGAAACUGUGAAGAAAACUCUCUAUACACAAAAUAUAAAUAAUAGGCUAUAAGAUAAGUCAAUUGCAACAGUUAACACUAUUACAUAUCUUAGAUAAAUAAAAAAUGACUGUAAUCAAUUAAGGUAUCUCUCCAAGAAGGUACCUUCUCAGAAGCCCAAAACCACUUGUUGUGCCUGAUUCAGCUUUGACCAAGAGAUAAAGUCUUGGUCAUAGAUCAAGACUACUGAAUCACACAAAUUUCAGGACAGUUUCUGUUCCCUAAAGGUAACAACAGCAAAAACAAUCUCCUUGCUCAUACGAUCCAUAAGUCUAGUUUUGCAAUGGGCCCAACCUCUCCAUCUGGAAGAUGAAAAUGACAGACUGAGAGCGAAUGGUGUAGAGAAGCCUCAGUGAACAGGUAACAAGUGGUGCAUAAGAACAGGAAAUAAUAGAGAGCACACAGCAAUGAAGGAAAGUGAAGAAGUGUUCCAAGUCUUUUGUGUCCAAGUUAAAUUGCCUGCAGAUAGAGAUCUCAUGGAACACAUCCUUGGCUGUGCCAUCAUUUGGCAUCCUUUUACAUGCCAGCAUUGCCAAGAGUUAUUAAGCAGUCAUAUUUGAAAACAUUUUGCAGGUGCCAGCCUGUACUCUCCCCUGUGUUAAUGAGAAUUUGACCAUCUACUGUAGGUGUAACGUACAGGGGAGGAGGAGCAGAGUCUGUGAACAAGCCACUUUUGCAUUGAAAGUAGAUCAGUGGCAGAUUAACAACAGGAUGUCUCUGCAUUUUAAUUAAAAUAAAAUAAAAUAAAAUCACGUAACACUGGGCCAGACUAUUAGAAACCGCUACUUGUGCAACCCAAUUGAGACAUCUGGUCUCUUUACCUUGGUCACUGAUGAGAAAAUAAAGACAAUCAGGCCUGGAAUCUGGACAAACCUGAGAUCAAAUAUUUCUACUGUUUAACAGUUUCCUUAUCAGAGAGUGAUGUGGUUGAUUUGAAGACACAGCAAUGUGAAUUAAUUUCUCUUUCUUUCAUUCAGCUUUUUUUACAGUUCUGUGUGGGAGAAAAAACAAUGCCUAGUUCAUUUCAAGAAUCAAAAGGACUCUGUCUUUUCCUUGAGCUAUUCCCACUCCUUUCAUUCCUCCCCAUGCUUUUUCUCCUUAUCCUCCCUCAUUCUCCUAUACUGCACACAUGGCCCCUUUAUGUUUGCAAGCAGCACAUUAACCCGAAAGGUUAACAAGCGGAGGGCUCAGGUGCACUCCAUACUCUUGUAGCAUUACUAAUGCUGUGGUCAUGGACUUGGAAUGGCAUUCUGGAAAAUUAGUUCUUUUGUGAUCUCUGUGCUCAGAGCCACUCUGCUGUUUUCUGUGUUCUAUAACUGCAUUUUUAUGCUGAGCUUUCCAUGUCUCUGAGAAUAUGGGUUUGGUUUUUUUUGCUCAUUCCAUUACCCAUUCCCUGGGAGCACAACAGAGUUAUUUGUGAGACCAACACCAACUGCAAUAUGGUAGAUAUGUCAGUGCCAGCAAAUUUUGUUAAGUACUUCUGUGCAUGUAAAAGCAGCAGAAGAGGUCAUGGCAAAGGGGCAUGCAAAAGCCUUGAAUGGAAGCCUCUCAAUCUAAAUUCCUCUUAGCUGGGCAGUUACAUAGUCGAACUCCAGAAAUCACUAGCAAUAUCUCAGUCACCUUAAUUCUGAGACUGUCUACCACAUUUAAGAUCUACAAUAUUCAGAUACAUCAUUAUUAAAAAUCCCCCAAAUACUUAAAUAUCAUAUCCCCAAGGAAAUCUAAGAAAUGUUUAUUCCAGAAAGAUGAACAUCCAUCUUCUGAAAAACUCAGCUGUAAGGAAUCAGUAAGGGCAGACUGAUAAAUAGAAGUCAAAAUUGCAGGAGUAAGUGGCCAAGCACUGACGUGGCUGUAAUGCAGCUGUAAUCUAGCUCAAGUGACACCAGGGAUUAGAACUUCAAUUUACAGGCAUUUUCCAAGCUGAGGCAUCCCUCAUUACAACCUUCACCAGUAAGCCAGUUGGCAGUAGCUAUUUGAACCCUGAUGGCAGGGAAUGUAUUGAGUGUCCUGGCAUCAGGUUUGGAAAGACAGUGACUUAAAACCAUACACUAGCUUAAUUUAAAUACUGGUUGUUGGUGGUCAUCCUUUGUAUAGCACUUAUUUUAUUUUAUUAACAAAUUGGCAAAUCGUCAAUUUAUUAAGUAAAAAUUUUGGGUUUUUGUUGUUGUUUCAUUUUCAUGUUCCCUUAUUCAAUUUAUCUUGAAUUUACUUGAAGAAAACAUGCAAAAGAAGAUCUGGUGAAGGAUCUGAAGUGGAAGAAUUGUAUACCAGUCCCGCUGAGCAGAAACAACUAUAGAACAGAAAGACUUUAUGAGCUACAGGAAGAGUGAUCAAAAGAGAGCUUUAUUGUAAUACACAUAGCUCACAUAGGAGGAAUUAGAGUUGGAGACAGUCAGGGCAUGUUUUGCACACCACUACCAUGUCCAGUUCUGUGAAGGGAAGUUCAGUCUGCCAUUGAGUGAAUAUCUUCCCCCUGGAACAUAGCCUUUUGCAGCUCUGAAGGGUCGUUAUAUUGAAGUCCAAACAAUGGAAAUGCCUCAGACUUCUUAUCUCUCAGGAAUUUAAUGCAUUCUUUCUCUUAGAAGCACCACACUUCGAAGUGAAGGAACUGAAGACUGAGCAGUGAACAUGAAAAAUCACAUAUUCUCCAAAGACAUAACCAGACUUGAAGUCAGACUGACAUGGAAAGCAAUUCAAGGUCUCUGUAUGCUUUCCACUUCAAGUAAUUGGUGGAGAAGAGGUUGUGAGGAAUGAUUAGGCCUUGACCCAUUUUCCUUUGUACUUUUCUGCGUGGUGAUCCAAGUCAACCCUGUAUUGAUCCCAAACAAAAUAAUGCUAUGGCUGAAAUAGAAUUCGAAAAAGUGAACUAAGGCAGUAUAAUUACUAACAGUCUGUGUGGGUUUACAGAAAACAAAUCUUGUCAAACUAACUUAAUAUUUUUUAUGAGAUUAUAGAUUUUGUUGACAAAGGUAUUUCUAUUGAUGAAAUGCACUUACAUUUCUGCAAGGCAUUAACCAGAGAAACAGGACAUUUCAAAACCAAUCUGGAAUACUUAAAAUGGUCUUAAGCCUGACAAGCCAAAAAGUCUAAAAACAAGGUAGGAAGCCAACAAAACACGCAAUAUGUUUUUAAUUAGGUUGAGACACAAAGCCAUCAAGAGCAAAGAUUUCAUGUCAACAGCAAUAACCCCUUUCUGGGAAGCGGUAACAAAAUGUUUAGCAGUUGAACCUUUAGCUUAGCCAGCCUAACAUUCAGAUAGCUUUGUUUUCAGCAUUAUGAAUCCGUAUUACUACUGUCAUGGUUAAUAAAAAGCACAGAAGAAACUGGGAAGACCUGGCCCUUCACAAGUUUUUCUUCCUUAAAUGAAAAUGGAGUCAGCUUAUGAGUUCACUGGCCUUCUAGCACAUGGUCUCUACUAGUUUUGUUUAGCACAUUAUAUACAUUUCUUCAGUUUGGUGAAAUCUCUCAUUGCUCAUUCCCUAUUUCACAUUUAUUCUACCACCCAAGCAUUGAAACUGAACACUCUCUUCAUAGUCCUACUGAGUUACAGUAUUAACACCUCAUACUGUAUCCUCUCCCCUCAGCAAGUGUAGGUAAUGCUAUAACUUCUUCUGUGCCAUCAGGAAAAAAAAAAAAAAAAAACACUGAAAAAAGGACGUGUCCAAGAAAAAUACAUUUCAGAGCCUUAUAUACCUUCUCAGGUUGUUGUUAAUAACUUUUCUUCAGUUGUCCAGGUAACAAGUAAAUAAAAGAAUAUUAAAAAAACAGACAGAAUAUUUUUAGUGUAGUAUUAAUUCAUAAUAUAACUUGUUUGUCCAGGACCAUAUCCACAUGAAAUUGGAUAUAUUUUUAUAUGUUUUCUGGAUAACACCAUUGUGAGAAGGAUCAUUAACAGUUCAAGAAUAUUCUGUCUCACUGUAAUUAUAUACUUAAAUAAUUUGAUAUUAUAUAGCUAGUGAAAGCUGCUCUCUUACCAGAGUGGAAAAAAUAGAGCCCUUCACAACAGGAAAAAUGAGGUUUAGUGGUACUGGUAUUCAAAUUCAAGCACAUACUUAAAUCUUUGCAGAGCUGAGGCCUAGGGUGGUGGUUAGUUUUAUUUCAGAGAUGAACAGGCAGUCAUCUUGUUGGAAUGACACAAAGUAAUGGAAAUGCAUCAUGCCAUCUGUUGGCAAACCACAGUGCUGCAGCCGGAAGGUUUACAAAACCAUGCCGCAUGUUAUCACCACCAAGCAAAUUAGAAGAAAUCAUAGGGAGUCCUCACAAACAAGCAAGCAUAUAAAAGAGCAAUUGCCAGAAAAUCUAAAUUUGGUUUUCCCUUUAUUUGCACACAUCUGCUAACUGAACACAUUGCAGUUUGAUUACAUAGCCAAAUUACCUUUUCCUAGCACAGCUACUGUUGAGAGAUUAAUUUCUUCCAAGUGUGAGUUUUUGUGCAUCUCUGCAGAUACACUAGAGUAGAAUGAAUUGGUAUAAACAGUGUCUGUGGUCCUGUGGUCCUGAUGAUUUCCCUGUGUAAGACAAUGCUAUCAAAAUAUGACUAGAAUUAAUUAAUUUCUAUUCCUAAUAAAUGUAUUUAAUGAAAGCUUUCUAUUAAAAUUGCCACCAUUAUAUAUGUAAAUUGUGGUAUUAUGGAAUUAUAGAAUCAUUAAGGUUUGAAAAGACAUUUAUCAACAUCAAACCCAGCCAUCAACCUGAUCUACUGAGUCCCAUCACUAAACUAUGUCCUUUGGUGCCAUGUCCAGGAAUGGGGAUUCCAUCAUUUCCCUGGGCAAUUCAUUCCAAUAUUUAGCCACCCUCUCUGUGAAGAAACCCUUCCUGAUAUCCUAUCAAAACCUCCACUGCAUGAACUUGAGACUAUUUUCUCAUGUCCUGUCUCAUCAUCUGAGAAAGAAGACUGAAAUUCUCCUCACUGAAAAAUAUUUUCCUUGG